rnacentral:rRNA from 1 species
AGAGUUUGAUCCUGGCUCAGGAUGAACGCCGGCGGUGUGCCUAAUACAUGCAAGUCGUACGCACUGGCCCAACUGAUUGAUGGUGCUUGCACCUGAUUGACGUUGGAUCACCAGUGAGUGGCGGACGGGUGAGUAACACGUAGGUAACCUGCCCCGGAGCGGGGGAUAACAUUUGGAAACAGAUGCUAAUACCGCAUAACAACAAAAGCCACAUGGCUUUUGUUUGAAAGAUGGCUUUAGCUAUCGCUCUGGGAUGGACCUGCGGUGCAUUAGCUAGUUGGUAAGGUAACGGCUUACCAAGGCGAUGAUGCAUAGCCGAGUUGAGAGACUGAUCGGCCACAAUGGAACUGAGACACGGUCCAUACUCCUACGGGAGGCAGCAGUAGGGAAUCUUCCACAAUGGGCGCAAGCCUGAUGGAGCAACACCGCGUGAGUGAAGAAGGGUUUCGGCUCGUAAAGCUCUGUUGUUGGAGAAGAACGUGCGUGAGAGUAACUGUUCGCGCAGUGACGGUAUCCAACCAGAAAGUCACGGCUAACUACGUGCCAGCAGCCGCGGUAAUACGUAGGUGGCAAGCGUUAUCCGGAUUUAUUGGGCGUAAAGCGAGCGCAGGCGGUUGCUUAGGUCUGAUGUGAAAGCCUUCGGCUUAACCGAAGAAGUGCAUCGGAAACCGGGCAACUUGAGUGCAGAAGAGGACAGUGGAACUCCAUGUGUAGCGGUGGAAUGCGUAGAUAUAUGGAAGAACACCAGUGGCGAAGGCGGCUGUCUGGUCUGCAACUGACGCUGAGGCUCGAAAGCAUGGGUAGCGAACAGGAUUAGAUACCCUGGUAGUCCAUGCCGUAAACGAUGAGUGCUAGGUGUUGGAGGGUUUCCGCCCUUCAGUGCCGGAGCUAACGCAUUAAGCACUCCGCCUGGGGAGUACGACCGCAAGGUUGAAACUCAAAGGAAUUGACGGGGGCCCGCACAAGCGGUGGAGCAUGUGGUUUAAUUCGAAGCUACGCGAAGAACCUUACCAGGUCUUGACAUCUUGCGCUAACCUUAGAGAUAAGGCGUUCCCUUCGGGGACGCAAUGACAGGUGGUGCAUGGUCGUCGUCAGCUCGUGUCGUGAGAUGUUGGGUUAAGUCCCGCAACGAGCGCAACCCUUGUUACUAGUUGCCAGCAUUAAGUUGGGCACUCUAGUGAGACUGCCGGUGACAAACCGGAGGAAGGUGGGGACGACGUCAGAUCAUCAUGCCCCUUAUGACCUGGGCUACACACGUGCUACAAUGGACGGUACAACGAGUCGCAAGCUCGCGAGAGUAAGCUAAUCUCUUAAAGCCGUUCUCAGUUCGGACUGUAGGCUGCAACUCGCCUACACGAAGUCGGAAUCGCUAGUAAUCGCGGAUCAGCAUGCCGCGGUGAAUACGUUCCCGGGCCUUGCACACACCGCCCGUCA